AACGAACGCUGGCGGCAGGCUUAACACAUGCAAGUCGAGCGCCCCGCAAGGGGAGCGGCAGACGGGUGAGUAACACGUGGGAAUCUACCCAUCCCUACGGAACAACUCCGGGAAACUGGAGCUAAUACCGUAUACGCCCUUUGGGGGAAAGAUUUAUCGGGGAUGGAUGAGCCCGCGUUGGAUUAGCUAGUUGGUGGGGUAAAGGCCUACCAAGGCGACGAUCCAUAGCUGGUCUGAGAGGAUGAUCAGCCACAUUGGGACUGAGACACGGCCCAAAUUCCUACGGGAGGCAGCAGUGGGGAAUAUUGGACAAUGGGCGCAAGCCUGAUCCAGCCAUGCCGCGUGAAUGAUGAAGGCCUUAGGGUUGUAUAGUUCUUUCACCGAUGAAGAUAAUGACGGUAGUCGGAGAAGAAGCCCCGGCUAACUUCGUGCCAGCCGCCGCCGUAA
rnacentral:rRNA from 1 species